AGUUGCCUUACGAUUUGUAUAUAAUUUUCGAGUGUGUGCUCGAUUUUGUUGUUUCGAGUAGUAGUAGUAUUUGAUUUAAUUUUUUCUCUUUUUUUUUUUUUGUAUGUUAUAGUUAUAUUUGGUGGGGCGACACACGAAGCGAGAGAGCAGGCGAAUGGCGAAUGCGAAUCCAAUCGAAUCGAAUCGAGUUGAGUUGAGCGCUCACAAAACGAACGAACCGCUUCGCUUGAAAGUGCGCGUCGAAAUGAGCUGAAAUUUGAAAAUACAGAAAUUUCCGCCGUCCACUCGCGACGCCGACUGCGAUGCUCACUGCGAUUGCGACGCCGGCAGCGCUGCUCGUUUCAGUUCUCACUUCGUUUCGCAGCGUGCCUCUCUCUGCGUUUCACCAUGUAACACACACGCACGCACACCUACACUUUCAUUUCGCUUUGUGUGAGGUCGAUGAGCACAUAUGGGAACGAGUGGGACAGCUGUGGGUGCAGGGGGUCGAUUGGGAGGUACCCUAAAUAAUACUCAAUUGCAUUGCUGAGUUGAUCAUAUAUAUAUAUACACUUAAUAAUAUAUUCCGCUUUUUCAAAGCCAUAUGCAAGAAAAAAUUGCGUUUAACUACACAACAUUGUAAAGAGUACGUGGCCCUUAGGUCGUCGAUCAUUUAAUUUAAUACGAAAAAUUCUGAUUGGCAAACAUCCAGAGAGUUACGUUCAAAUUCAAAACCCAUUUACACAUAUUCUUUGUUCCGUAAAGAAUAAACCAAUGCAUGGGCAUACCUUUAUCUUAUACGAUUACUGGGCAACAGAAGGAAGUGAGAGAGAGAGAGGGCCUGAGCAAAAAAGAGCGAGAGCCCAGCAGCGACACUGAAAAUCAAGCGCAAGUGCAAAGAGUGAGAGAGGGCGAGAGCGCAAGCGAGAGAGCGAGGGAGAGAGAGCGAGGGAGAGAGAGCGAGCGUUGAGGGCCAGCUGAUAAAUGGUUUCGCGUGUGUGUCGUAUACACUGCGUAUACGCGUUUUUCGUGUGUGUGGGUGCGCGUGUGGUCGCAGGACGGAGGUUACAUUUGCCGGCGGUCCUUGGCGUGGCGAUAAACGGUAAUCACUUGGUCACAGAGGCGGUCCGAUCCGGUGCGCACCUCCCCCUCCACCAUCGCUUUCCCGUUGACCACCUUGCUAGCCUUCUGGCGCGUCCUUCAAGGGCUUCUUCCUAUUAGUCGUGCACAUACCCAUACGCACGAGGCUAUCGAAAAUGCGGGGCUACGGAGAAGUCAUCAAGGAAUAUGGGCACCAUCUGAAGAGCCUCCAAUCUCCAUACACAACAACACAAGUAAUUGGUCUAUUUUCCAAGGGAACUUGACAGAAUGAAAAGUUUGUUUCCUUGAACAACUUUAGUCCAGCAUUUUUCAUCCAUUUCUGCAUCCAGCUAAUGCACAUUUCAAGCAUAUUUAUAAAACACAUUUGUUGGGAAACAAUGUGUCAUCUCCAAUUUCUUUCUCUUAUAUUAUUGAUAUUAAAAGCAAAAACUUAUUACUAAUUUUUUAAUCUCAGGCAUCAUAUUAAUUACGCUUUAGGAACUUUAAAUUUUAAAUUCAAGGACACGUUAUAAACAACUAGAAUAGCUUUUUGUCAGUGUAUCCUGUCAUCCGGGAACAGUUGACAUUGGAACGUCCUAUCGACGCACAUCGCCGGGAAACGUAAGCUGUCGUCCUUUGUCAGAAAGUGAUUUUUUUUCUUCUUUCAAAUUUGGGUGGCACAUUGUACUUGUACUUGUACUCGGCAUAUUUGUGUGUGUAUCCAAAUGGGGCGUUGUCGUUGUCGUUGUCGGCGGCAUUAGCCAUCCAACUACGAGUAUACAUAUAUGUACUCUGUAGAAACCAGCAACACAUGUCGCUGGCAGUCGCCCAUCAUCACAAAACUCUGGCGGGGCCACCCAGCUGCAGAUUUGUUCUUUCAGCCGGCGUUUCCUCUCCUAGCCACGCCCCCACUCCAAAUCCACUUUAUCCACUUCCCACUUCUUUCCACUUGAUCCAUGGCGGGCCGAAGCAGUUAUCCACUUGCAACAAUUGCAACUGCAACAGCAACCACUGCUCGAAUGCACAGAGGGAAAUAUUUUGGAAUUAUAAAAAAAAGUCUUAUAAAAUCUCAAAUGAUAGUUCUCUAAGAAAAGCCAUAACUUUUAAAUUUACACCAGUUAUAACCACAAAUUUAAGAAUUUAAAACAUAACUAAACCUCUACAUUUUGAAGAGUUAUAAAUAUAAGUUAUAUUUUAAGAACUGCUAGAAAAUCAUUUAUAUGAUUUUCCCUAAGUUUCUUAGCAGUAGAAACAUUUUCAAAUAGAGCAGACCGAAAGCACUUGUUUUUUUGUCAGUGCACGACGCAAAUGCAACUACACUUCACAUGGCACCACUCGGCACAUUCGUCUCAUUUAUGGCGUGCAAAUUAGCAUAGGGCCAAAAGGGCUUCGUGUGUGUCCUUUUAGGCCACGAUGGCCAUGGUGGCCACGGUGGCCAUGCCGUACAGAGAACUGAAAACACUAGACCCGUGUCCAGAUCGCAUCAGUUUCAGCUUCUGUCCGCCUCGCAUCAUGUGUGUGUGCGUGUGUGCGAGUGUGUGACUGGUAAGUGAGUGCUUGCCUGCUCAUUAGUUAGAUGGUCUGGGUACCACUGACAUCGCCAGAAUGUGUGAAAAUUGGACAGUAAUGCGGCCCUCCUUGUAGUUGUUGGUGUUGCUGAUACGGAUGGUACACACAGGACCACCCUUUGAAGCAGCGACGCUGGAGGUGUUGAAAGUAGCAAGUACGAGUUGUGGACGGGGUUUGGCAUCUUGUGAUAUUGGUUAGCUAAUUGAGAUAUACAAAUUUCCGCCUGGAAAAUGGUUGCUUGUUGCUUCAAUAGCAAUCAAAUUAAAAAUAGUAUUCAAUGGAAUGUCAAACAGGAAGUGCAUUUUUAUUUCUAUUAAAAAUACCUAGAGAAACUUUUAGAUUUCAGCUAAAAUGUGUUGCCAAGCCAGAAUUUACCAGUAAAGGUUUCUGAAGGUUCAUGGACUAUUCAUUGAAUCAACAACAAUUUCAAGGCAAACUCGCAUACAAAAUAUACACUGAACGGUUUCUUUAUAAUUCGCUAUUUAGCGUAUAUGUAGUUGUUUGAUCAUCACGAUCAAUUUCAAAGUUAUCACCGCCCACUCGGCUAAUUAUGCCACAGUGGCCAUAUAAGGGGGGAUAUGCCUGAAUAUAUAUUUGAUGGCGAUUUGCUCAUCUCAUCUUUGAAAUCAAAGGCCGGCGGAGACGGACGUUCAGCGACCUUUGGGCAUUUUUGUUAUUUUCGCUUCGCCAACUGGAGGCGUUCGGCGUUCGGUUCAACUUCCUUUCGAUUUUUGCGGAAACAUUAAACAAUCGCAACUGGUUCACCUUUCCACUUAGUCAUUGAAUCUUCAAUGAGAGUCUCAAUUUCAUUGGGACUUUCACAUUGCCCAGCUGACCCCUGCUGCUCUUUUUUCCGUCCAAUAUUCACACAGCUCCACCGCUCUCUCCUCUGGCAUCCAUCGAUUUUCAAUGGAUUUUUGUGUUGUUUUAGAAAUAGAAAUUUCGCCUAAUGCUUUCCAAUGUGUUUGAGUGUGUUUGCUUGCCUCUGUGUGUUGUAUAUAUGGCUAUAUGGCGAUAUUGCAAAAUGCUCAUGCACAUGAUUUACUUGACACUAAUUUCCAUAAAUAAAACAAAAGUUUAAUAACAUCGCCCCUGCCGCUUCAAUGGGUCGCUGACAAUAACCCAAUUUUCAAUCAAGGCAGGCGUUGUCGUUCCCCCGGCACAGUGGUUUCAAUGCUUAAAUGGUUUCAGAAAAAGAUUUACUGAUAUACUUUUAGCAUUAACUUUCAAGAUUAAAACGUACAUUUAUGGUCCAUAAUUUACGCAGUCUCGUAGUGUGGCCAAGUAAUCAUUAAUAAAGUAAAAAGUAACGUGUGUGACCAUGCUGUUGAAAAUGAGUCUAAAUUAGGGAAUUCAUUUAGUGAAAAUAAAAAAAAAAGUAUAGCUUUUUAUGAAGUCAUAAAAAACUCUUAAACGUGAUCUAACACAGUGUUUUGAUGAUUAUGGACGAUUACUCAUUUAUGGCCGCAGUUAGAGCACCGUGCAACAUUGUAAUCACCUCAGAUGACAAAAUUGAAAUCGAAGCAAUCAAAUCUGGAGGCUGCCAUCUCGGCCGAUUGCGUGGGUCGUUUUUGGCGCGUUGUCGAAAGUGUUAAUUGAUUCGAUUGCCCUCGAAGUGAAGUGAGGUGGUUUUUAGGGAAGCCCAGAUACAAAAAUCGUUUGGCUCCAGAGAUUGAAGCCAGCGAUUAACGUGUUACGAGAUGGCUAAGUCGAGUUGCAUCCGUUAGAUACGUGAAAUGGAGUUGUAAAGCUGGCGCGAAGAGAUAUUGAGAUACGGCAUCCGAAAAGAAAAAAAAAAGCUGCCGUGGGAUAUAACUUCCGCACUCGUGCCGCGGGUGAAACUUUUCAGAGAGCGAGAGAAAGCGACUGCAGGGAAAGAGACGGGGCGAGAGCGACUUUUCGUAAUCACUUUGCAGCAAUUGGCGUUUUGGUUCGGUUUCGGUUUUGUCGGUUUGAACGAACACAACGAGAAAUUUACAUUUCACAUUUUCACAAUCUUUUUUUUUUACUUUUUUCAUUUUAUUUUUUCUUUUUAUUUUUUCCUUUCCCCCUGCACUGCUCAUGUAACAAAUGAGUGAUUGGAGCAGCUUUCCGCAUUUCACACACUCACAGACGAGCAGCAUAGAAAUCUGCGCUUUGUCGUCAUCAUUGAUCGCCGUCGUCUUGGCCUGGCUUUUUUAUCCGCCUCUGUUGCUUUCUUUGCGACGACGUCGGCUCUGGGAGUUAAUUGUUUGGGUAAAAUAUGUUAAGGGGGCCAAUUUGGUAAGUGAGAUUAAUAGGAAGAUCCUUAGCUUGGUGUUUUCACAUUUUCUGAAAAGCAUCAAUGCUUCUUUAUAAAGCCUCACAGCAGAGUCAUUGCAUUAGAACUAAUAUGCACAUCAAUGAAUAUAAAAACUAAUGGGUAACUGCAGGGUUAUUAAUGCUUUAACUACGUAAAGUUACAGUAUUUCUCUUUAAUCUUACAUUCCAGAAAUAAGUAAUAAUCUUUUGUUACAGAAAUAAUAUUCUUCCACUGAUUUCAUUAUACCAUUAACCCACGCAAAAGAGAAAUUCCUUAAGGAAUUAAGAUAUAUUACACCCAACUUCAAACAUUAAAUCCAUUAAAUUAAUCAUUGCACCAUCUAUCUAUUCCCAAUUUCCCCUAAAUAAAUCCCCACUAAUUGAGGCCGUUUUAUGUUAACGUAAAUGCGUCCGAAAUUGGGCGAAAUCUGUGCGAUUUGAUCGCUUUCGGUUGAUUGCUUCGAUGUUUUGUAACAGAGAUCAGCUUUUUCCGGCCCAUUCCCUGUCACGCGCCUAUCGAAAUCUAGUCCAGUGAUAAAUCAUAAAAUGAUUUACAAUUCGGGUACGCUCCGUUUCGAUUUGUAUUUGCGUUUGUUUCUCUUUUUUUUUUCGUAACCCAAAGCCAAACCCAUUUCGGCCCGGCUUUUAUUGGACUAAAGUCUAAUGGGAAGGGGUAGGAAAAUUGUUGCCAGGCGGUGAGUGAGAUUCACGUGGCCUUGGGUCGAAUAUUUAUUGCCUUUGUGGUUUCGAUUAUACAAUAAUUCCGAGAUGCUGAGAAGAAAUAGUUCAGGUAGUUUCAACCAAAUACUGAUUGAAUUUCCUGUGGUCCAAACAUGAUUCUCCGAUAAACAAAGCAAUGGACAAAUUGCAAAUGUCACAACGUUGUAAAAUGUGCAAAAAGUCUAAAGCACACAUUCAUCCAGGCGGCUCGGGAUCAUCGCACAACGUAUUCAUCAAUUGGCAGAGGAAAAACCAAAAAAAAAAAAAUGAAAAAUAAACAAAGUCGAAGGUAAUCCAAACUGGAGACAAAGCGAUCUCUCACAGCGAGGCGAAGAACACCCAGGAUGGGAUUUUGUCAGAUCUUAUCUCGAGCCUCAAACGAAAAUGUCAAAACAUCCCAUCCCCUGCCAUCCGAUUACCUCCUUUGGGUAAUUGUGUGGAAGGUAAAUUAUGAAACUGUCGUUUGGGCAUCUUCUUGGCCUGGCUUAAAAUGGCAUCGCCUGACUGACGGAUCCAGACGAUAUAAUGCUGCAUAUAUCCCGCUGCUAACCGCAAGAAUGGCGAAAUGGCCAGAAGCCGUACAAGUGGCGAGGAUGAUGAGCCGGCGGAAAAGGAGGAGGAGGAGUGGAGGAUAGGAGGAUAGAAGGAGGAGGUAUGGAUCUGGAUAUGUGCAUCCCACGGCGUUUGUUUACGCUCAUUAAACGUGAAAAGGUGCCACCCGAAUAGGCAAACCGCCUGCAGACCUCCGGCCGCGAAGCCUUAGCACCUGUAGACCAGUCGGCAAAAGAAGAGGACUCUUCGGUCUGCGUGUGUGGUCUCUUCGGAGACGGAAAAGGGAGACCACCACAACCAUCACCACCACCAACGCCGCCACCCUUUUCUCCUCCAUUCUUGGCCGCAAACAAUUCUCUAACAAUUACGCCUCAAUGGCAUAUAAUUCAAUCUUCCGCUGGCAUUGCUCUUUUGUCUGAUGGAUGUGUGAUGGAUAGCUCCCAAAGAGGAGGGCAGAAUGCAAAGAACACACACGCACACAAUGUACAUUGUACAUUGUCUUAAUACCUUUUGCCAGGUGUGGAUUGUGUAUCUGUAUCUGGCCAUCUGAAUCCGUAUCCGUGUAUCUGCGGCUAGGCUAAUUUGAAGUGCGUGCAUCAUGGACUUCGUGUGUGGCCUCAGGACUUUGGGAUCAGGGAAGGGCAGCGAAGCGGGGACCACAGUGAAUACCCAUUCAGUGGGAAAUCAAUUAAGUGAGCAGGGAAAUCUGAAAGGAUUUCCUUUGUGUGCGGCUAUAAAAUGAUUCUUUGUUCAUUUUCAUUAGGUCUCUUACAACUAGAAAUAAAUAUAUGGAUUAAAAAUGUUUUGAAUCACUCGAGUAAUGUGAAUAAUUAGUAUAAUAAUGUAAUUAAUGAAAGUUUAACCACAUAUUUAAUCGAAAUGAUAUAAGAAGUUAUUGAUACAUUAACCUCUCUGUGUGCAUUAAUAAGUUAAAAUGUAUUCCAACCACAAGUCUAUCCACCAUCCACUGUACCCAUCGAGCACUAAAUUCAAACGACGACUUCUGAGAGCCUUAAUAAACAAAAAACGAAAAAAGUUACCAAGAAUUCCCGACUGGCUCUCAUAAAAAUUUCGUGUUUUUUUCGAUCUUUUUAUUUUUGUUUAAUAAUUUAAAUAAAAAAUGCCACCAAAGUGGUUUCGGGCUAUAGCUGGGCAAACACGGCUUAUGGAGUGAAGUGCGAGUAUGUGUGUACGUUAAGCGCAGACGCAGAGCCUAAACACACUCAUAUAGCAGAUACAAGAUACAGGGUAGGCAAACAAAGUAAACAUGUGAGGCGGCCUCAGUCUCAGUCUCAGUCGCAGUCGCAGUCUCAGUUUUUGACUCUCGUGGAACGAGAACGGCGACGGCUGACGAUUCUUGCCACACACGAUCAUCAAGCGGCGUUGGUGGGCUCUCAAACCCUGAAACCCUCGAAACCCGGUGCCUGGAACCACAGACGUCUCGCUCGAACGGUUGGUUCCACACAGAUCCCAGAUCCCAGGUCCCCGGUCCCAGAAAAGCCAGAGCUCCGAUGGCAGAACCCCCCGAACAGAUUCAGUGUUGCUGGGCCUAAGAUUACAGGAAGCGAACACGACAAGCAUUCAAAUUAGCUAAUUAGCGGGGAAGAUUAAUAUGCGUUGAUUACUUUUUUUUUUCUCUGGACAAACAGAUAGCUAGGAUUCAAAGUGUUUCUUUUGUUAAUUUUGACAUCAUUCCAUAUUUAGCUAAAAACCUGACCUAAGAACCUGACCAAUGCGAGGGGAAACCCGCUGAAGCCAAAUGGCCAGGCCAGUUGAGGUGGCCAAGUUGAGUUGAGAAGACAAGCCUUAAAACUAAGGGCAAAACAAAUGCAACAAGUAGAAUCGUUUUGUUUGUCGCCAUGCCCCGCCUCCCUUUUGCCUUUUUAUGGAUUUUAUGGCCGCUAUGCUAUUUCGCUUUAAUUGUUUUCCCUGAGCCCUCGGUUCAUUAUUCCCGUAAUCCAAACAGAUCAAGUCCAAGGCCUCCUUCGGUGUUCCUUUUUCAUUUUAUUGUUUGCUGCCAUUUAAAAUCCCCCUUCCAGCCUAAAGAAGCUGACCUUUGACACUCGACUGCGGUUCGGUUGUUUUGCCCGGGCGUCGAUUAAGGCGGCGGGUAAUUAAUUUUCCUUUUUUUUUAUUAUCAUUCUUAUUAUGGGGCAUUUAGCUUGUAAUUAGUUUGUAGAAUUAGCCACAGGUUGUUGGGUUGUUGCGUUGUUUGCUCGCCGGCUUCUUGGGUGGUUUUCUGUGGCCGGAGGAGCUUGGUUAAGUGAAUUCGAGAUGGUAUCAAUCUGGUUGGCCACUUCUUGGUAAUAAGGCUUGUACUUUGUUUGCUUUUGCUGGAAAGGAGACCCGCAGAACUUUGUUUAUGGGCACUUGGCUAGACAAGAAGUAUGAUUCAAAGGCUUUGCACUCGCAGUGAAAACAAUGCUCACCCUAGAGAAAAUCCCAUUAGUUUGGGGUAUGACAACGCCUUAUCAACUCAAGGCUGUCUUCGAAAUAAUCGGAAUUUUGAUUAGAAAUUUCAUUGAAGUAAUCAAGAGUCGAUUUUGGCAAACUGAUAAGCAGUUUAACAAUGACAAAUGAUAGUCUCAAGGAAAGAAAUGUUGCAGCACAUUGAACUAUAAAUAUACGAGUAUAUUAAGAUUAUGAAUAAGUGGAAAAAUGAUACAUUAAUAAUGUUUUUCUAAUCACGAUGUCCUAUAACUGCAACUUUCAAAUCAGCUGUUAAUCAAAUAAACGCAUACAAACGCGUACUGACAAACACCCAAAAAGCAAACUGUGAAAAAGAAACGCCAAAAAGCAAUCGCCAUCGUCAAGGCCCAGUUAAGAGAGUUAACAGUACAAUGGACGGUGGUGAGGAAAAAGAAAAAAAAAAUAUAAAAAAAUUAAAUACAAUUUCGGGCGUCUGCGUCUGGCGCCCUAAAUGAAGACAAAUUGUAAAUAAACGUAAAUUUUCGAAACGAAAGAGUGAAAACUGUGUGCGGACAAACAUUUAGCAGCGGCGGGUUACAUAAAAAAAAAAAUGAAAAAAAUGGUAAGAAAAGGUUUGAAGAGUCCGCCAGAUAGAUGGCCAUUAAAAUAAAGUCUGGCCGAAGAAGAAGAGCAAAAAUAAAAUAAUACAACAAAAUGAGGGUUACGCACAAUAUGCGAAGUUUUGGCUUCUGUUGCUUCUGUUGUUGUUGCAUGUGUAAUUAAGCGAAAUUAGGACAGUCUCCUCCGUGAAGAAAAAAAAAGAGAUGCAAGUUAAAAUUUUGGAAAAAGAAAGCCGCGGGAAAAAGACUCAUUUUGGAGAGACAGUCUUCGGCAGUCUUCGGUGUGGCUAGUCUUCGGAUUUCACAGUCUUCGUCUUCGGCUUCGAUCAAACUAAGCCAAGUUUUGUUUUUUUUUUUCUUACCCCACCACCACCCCCCUCGCCGUUUUUUGUGGCCGAUUCGUGUUUGCCGCUUAUUACGUUUGUUGCUGCUUUUUUGCUUUUUGCUUUUGCUGCCGCUGUCGUGCCCCCUUUUUUGGGGCCAUAUGGCGACGCCGACUGCGACGCCGGCGACGAGGCUUGCACAAAAAACGCGUCGCGCUUAUUAUGUAAUAGGUAACGAACGGCGUCGCUACGUUUUGUCAUUUCGCCGUUUAUUUUUUGGAUACCCCAUACAGUGGGUAGUAUUAUUUACCGCCCAACUUGCCCAUAAAUAGAUGGAAAAUGAAUUUAUUUAUGCCCAGGAAAUCGUUUCUAUUUGGAAAUCAAUGCGAAGAGCGCUCUUAGAUAAUAAGAAAUAUACUAAAUACUUAGCUUUUUUAUUGAGCUGUAUUUAAACAUACAUUUAUUGAGGUCAAACCAUUGAUAAGAAUUAGAAUAAACUCGAAUCCUUACAAAAAAGAAACAUUUGUUAAAAACUCUAUAUUUUAAAACACAACUAUCAAAUGUUGUAAAAAUAAAAAAAAUGGAACAUUCAAAAAUAACCAUUAAGAUAUCAUUUGUAAACUUUAUUUAACACUUCUAAAAUAUUAGAGUAAGAGUAUUUCCCACUUCAGUCAAUCCAAGCAACUCCCUUUACUUCUGGUUUAUUGUUCGUUGCUGUUGCUUAUCGUAUAUUUUAGUUUCAAUUUUUCGAAGUUGCCAAAAAAAUUGAGCAGGCCAAAAAAGCGAAUGCAACUGCAGCUGCGGCGGCUAAGUUGCAACUGCAACUGCAACUUCCAGCGGCAGCUUCAACUAACUGUGGGCGACUCUCGCGCAUUGAAAGAUAAAAUUGUCCAAUUUUUUGCUGGUGUUUUCAUUUUUAUUUUUGGCUUCUUUUUUUUUUGGCCGUGCUUAUUUUAUAAUUUGCUGCGCUUUUUACAGCUCAAGCCAUGAAAAAGAGGUGAAACUAAUUUUUGUUUUUGGUGUGGAAAUCCGUCGCACCGUUUAUGUAAUGCGGCUAUAUUUUCUUUUUGGUUUUUAUUUUAUUUUCCGUAUUAUCCAGAGGGCGCUGCUGUGAAAUGUCACUCCCAGAAUGGGAAAAAGAGGAGUGCAGCAUGUGUGUGCAACUGAGAUGGGAAUAUGGGAUGAGGGGGAGGGGAGUAUCUCUUCGGCGGGCUGCACAAUUAAAUCGAUUGCACAACAAUCGCAGAAACUAAAAGACAAUUGAAAUUAGAAAGGCUGCGCAGAGCUGGGCGAAUUUAAUGUCUGCGGUAUUUGUGUAUUUGUAUUUGAGAGAAGAAAUAAAACAAAAAGUCCUACAACAAAGGUUGAGCAUCGUUGGCUGUGAAAGGUGAAAGGUGUAGAUAAUCGGGCAGCAGAGAAAAGAGAGUUUUCGAAGUCGUCGUCGUGUGUGUGAUAGCGGGUGAGAUUUGGGUACAUUUUGGGUAUACAACACUCGAAUCGCGGGUGGCUUCGAUAUGUUUCGUUUCCCUCUGUCUGUCUUUUCGGUUUUAAAUAUAUAAAAUUUACGGUCUUUCGCUUCGAAUUUCUGUUUUUGGUUUUUUUUUUUUGUGCUGUUUUUGGUUUUUUUGGUAUUUUGGUUUAGGUGUUAUGAAUUCGAGUGAAAUCGCAGUACGAAGAUGCGGGGGAAAAAGUGCAUGAAUUUGUUUUUAGGCCACCGAUAGUUCCGGCAUUUCGAGGGAAGUGGGGUCAAAACUUUCGGGGCGUCGAGAAAUUGAUUGGCGAAGCGAAUGGAAAUUCAAUUUGUAAUGCGGCAGUGAGAGCGAUACAGCGGGUGGCGUUAAUCGUUAACGCUUUGGCUGUGGCCAAGCUGUGGCUAAGAUACAUUUCUGUUGGCCAAUUGUUACACAUAAGCGGUGAAAAGUGUUAAGAGGGUGUGAAUGUUGGGGGCAUUUGCAUAAAUAUUGCAUAAUAAAAGCUAGCCGCUAAAAGCAUUUUCACAACCUGCUCGCGGAAGUGCUAUACAAAAUAUAACAAUUGCACAAGGAAGUUCUAUUGUUAGCAAAAGUAAUUAAAUGUCACAAAUACAUACUUAUUAUUGCUAAUUCUUAUUCCUUACAAUCUGAUUAUUUACAGUCUUUUGAAAGCUUUACAGUACAUUCUCUUAUACUGCUAUGCCCUCAUGUAAACUAUCUGUUAUAUAAACACAUAUGUAAGUAAUUGUUCCUGUGUGUCAUACAACUGUUAUACGUUUGAUGAACUUGUAUUGAUCGGCAAUAAUCCAACGACAUAUCGAAUUCCAAUCGAAAGGUGAAAACUGUAUUGAAGUGAUUUGUGCGCUCACAAAUGUGAAUCUCAAUAUAACACUUACUAUUACAACAAAUCGAAUGGUGAACAACAGUUCAGAGACACGAAUGUUCGUGUCGAAAUGUCAUGGACCCUUUUCCGUCCCUCUCCCCACACUUGGCACCCACUUUUGCCUUACCCACGCCCCCUAAUAACCCAAACUCCCCCCUUCCGUCCCGACUAAGAGAAAGAUAGUGGAUAAUAAACGAACUGCCCGCAUUGUUACAAGAGCCUGGGGAACUUUUUCUUGUUAGUUUUUGUCUGGCCAACACAUAAAUUUCCCUCGCUGAACUUUCAAAACCCAAAUGAAACUGUUCAAAUGAACAGCGACGAUUUGCAUUCAACUUCUGCUUCGGACUGGCCAUUGUUUUUUGCAUAAUUUCACUGGGAGGAAAAGCCAACUCUGCCCAAAAAGGAAAAACAAAAUCAGUUCACCUUCCAUGGCCGCAGAUCUCCGAUCGUUUUCCGAAAGAAAGUCAUUAAGUGAAUGGAAGACUCCAAAGUAGCGAAGAAGCGGCUGUCGUAGAGCAGCAGCAGUCACAAAUUAGCGUUCAAAUUAAGUGAUUAUCAUUAUUAUUAGCCGGAGAUACAUUUCUGAAAAUGUAUAAAUCGAGUUCAAUUUGCUGUGUGUGCUUUCUGUUAGCGGCUUAUUUAAAUGAAAGUUGGAAGGGGUGGUGGUGGGGAGUUGGAGUUGUGAGUAGUAAAUCGGCGCCCACAUCGAUCUCUAUAUGAUACUUUCUAAAUGUGCGACCGCGUUGCACAAUUUUUCUUCUGCUCUUCAAGCUCUCGAUUUUUCGGCGGGGUAAUUGCAACUGCAACUAAUGUGAAAUUCAAUUUGCUGCCCCAGAAACAACAACAUAUGCACUGGGAAAAUGGAAUGCUAACGCUACAAGAAUAAUAGAAUUUAACUUUUCAGAGUUUUGUUUUCAUAUGUAUAAAUGCACUUCUGUGGGACAGAGUGGAAAACAUUUGGGUCAUUAUAAUAUUUACCCAAAAGGUGGUUAUGUUAUUACUCAAAACUCUUUAUAAGACAUAUUCCAUUACCAAAGCCAUGCCAAUUCGUGACCAAUCUUGGUGAUAUUUCUGUCGGAUUCGGAAAUAAAACUUUCCAAGUUGCAAAAUUUUCAAAGCGGACGACAAACGAAAUUUGUUUAACUUUCCACAGUCGCAGCAGCAGCAGCAGCAACAGCAGCAGCGGCAAAGUUCGGUUAUGUCAUAACACAGAGGUGAGGUAAGUCGGCGAAAGGGGGGCGGAGGGCGGAGAGGGGCGGGAGAGGUGCGAUUUCCCUCAAGUGAAACUGUAAGCUGUGGUUAUAUACACAUACAUACAUACGUAUAUUUCUUUUCCAUCAGUUUGUGUUUUUUUGGAAAGCCGCAAAAAGGCAAUGUAAAACUGAAGUCGCACAGCCGCCGUCGCCGCCAAAGUUGAAGAAAAAGAGCGCCGGACUGACUAUCCGUAGGCCUCUCUUUUAAUGCGUGGGGACAACCAACAGCAACAACAACAACAGCAAAUACAUUGGGGCCAAAAAGACAGCAGCAGCAGAAACAACAACAACAUUAAUAGUAGUAGCAAAAACAACAAUGAAACGAAAACGAAAGUGUGCGCAUCCGCAAUUAAAAUUGUAAACGCAAGAGUUUACAAAAGUGGUAGAAGCAACAAGCGCGGGGAAACGACAUAAAAAUGGUUGGGUUUUCAGAAAAAUGCCACCAAAAUGCGGUCGCUCGUCUGUCAAAUUAGAGGCACAAGUUUUCGAGUGAAAAUUUUGACCCAAUUUCGUUGGUUUUUCGGCCGAAAUGCGAUUACCUAAUGCCGCCAGGAGAGGCAACUCAGUCAGUCGAAGUCGCGCCCUUGCCUUUUUUUUAUGUAUUUUUACCUAAAGUAUAUCUCAAGGCUUAAGCCUUUUUUUAUCACAGUCAAUAUCUGUGAGAUUCGCUACAGUAUACAUUGAAUAUUGAUGGAAAAAUGUAAAUGUGUCGGCCAAAAACCCGAAGGCUUUGUAAACAUAAAUGAUGGAAUCAUAAAUGCAUAUUUUUAUGAUCUUUAUUCUAAUUGAUAUACAAGGUAAAUUGAUCUGUAAAACAGAUUUGCUACCCAGAAAUGAUAGCCGUUGUUAUAUGUGUUUAAUCUGAAUUUUAAGAAUUUCGUCUUUGGUCAAUUAGUUGUAAACCCUUUUCCCUCGUCGCAAGAUCGUUAUAACUCCAGUUAUUUGGGGCACGCAUGGAUCGGCGCAACUGGUUUGCUUAUCGCUCGUAUUUUCGGACAUUUUUUAGAGUCGUUAUAAAUGAAUAAUUGCGCUUGGGUCUCCAAAAUGGGUCACCCGAGACGAGAUCUGAUCGAAUCGGAUCGAUUCGAAUCGUAUCGCAUCGAUCGAGUUUCCCUUUUGUCUCGCAAUGCAGCGUAAUCGAUUUAAAUAAAUUAUAAUUACUCACGCGGAAUGGAGAACGUGUGUUUUUUUUUUCUUAAAUGGAUCCUUGACUCAAAAAUGCCGACAUGGCUGCUUAAGCUUACACUUUAAUGAAAAGCUCUUUCGGGAAACCCAAUUACAUACCUGUAACGAUAAGAUAAGCAGAAGUAAUCAGAUUAAAAUUGGUCAGGGAUUACAUACAAAAUUAAGGGUGUAAUAAAUUAUUUUAAUGCCUUUUGUAAAAAACAAAUUACACCCAUUUUAAAUCAGAACUUUAUGUCCAAACUCAACUCAUUCGGAACUCAAAGAUUUAUGAUCUAUGCAUUUAAGAAUCUUUUACUUUAAGAACCCCAUUAAAAUUAGCUUAGACGAUAAAUGUCUAAAGUCCCCGAAAUGAUUCAUAACCCACAUCGAGUUCCCAGAAUCUACGCUCAGAAACAUCAUAAGAUUUAAAAAAAAAAGGGAAUCUCAGAAAAUUUCAACAAAGUAUAGUAUCCAUCAACAAUCGAAUCGAGCCGAACCGAAUCAAAAUGAAACGAACGAAACGCUUUGAUGGAUCAAUAUAUCGUAAAAAAACAAAAAUAUGAAAUCACUUUGUGACGAUGAUGAUGACGACGACGACAUGCCAAAGUGAAAUUAGCCCAAAGUUGAAAUCCAUUUAGAAAUCUACAUGAACUCAAAUGCGUGUGUAAAAAGGUAAGGCAAAAGGUACAAAAAUUAACAGCGGAAAAAAAGACAGAUACAUUCGACUUGUGAUAUUAAUCCCGCCAUAAAUCAAUGGCAACCGUCCAGCCAGACAUCGCACAACACCCGUCAAAGUUGACAGGGUCCCCUCGCUAUAGAGGACCAGAUACAGAUAUCUGUAUAUGGUGGUACGGGGGUAAGGGGCUAAGGGGUAAGAGGGGUAAGAGGGCAGGGCUGUUUGUCAUUUGGGCCUAGGCGUUGGCCCAUAGCUGUCCAUUUGUCGUCUAUCUUCGUCUCGGCCCUGUGGCUUUUGUCAUGUGCGACUUUUAGGGCAUCAUGCCCGGUUAUGGCUUCCAUCUGAUCGGCCGAUGAGACCGACCCUCUUACACACACACUGACACACACACACACAACAGUAUUUUGCCCCCACUUUGCUUAGCCCAAAACGCCAUCGAAAGUUGAGUUUACUUUGGCCAUAUUGGGGUUUGGGGGGUCUCAUCUCGGCUUAAGCCGCUUCGUGUCACUUGGCCCAUGGCUUGUUAGGCCCUCAUUUUGUUAUGCCCUAUUAAGAAAAAAAGAUGGAGUGCUAAGAUGAAAAGGUAGGACUUGUUAACUGGCUUUUCUGUUGAAUUGCACCAUAUACAGUCAUGGUCCUAGGGACUUGGGUUACUCAAAUGGGAAAUUUGUGCAGAUGACCUGUUACCCUUUAAUUAAAUAUUAAAUAUUGGGGAAUAUUAGCUUUAAAAAUAUAUAUUAAAUAUAUAUUUAAAUUAUACCAUAUUUUACGAGAUGCUCCAUCUUCCGCUUACAUUUUUACAAGACGGUAGAGUAUCUAAGCCGUGUUAAUUCCUUGGUUUAAUAUUCAGCUUUGGCGGCUUGCUGCAAAAGCAUCCAAACAAUUCGAGCUGAAACAACAAAUAGUCACGCAUAAUCUCCAAAUGGAGGACGGACUGGGCCCAAUUUGAAGGCGAAAAGCCCAUGUGCCGCUGAUGCUUCUGCUUGGCUAACUGACUUGGGAAAAUGACGAACUGAGAAAUUGGCUAACUGGCUAACUGGCCAACUGACAAACUGGCUAACUGACGACCGUUUCACGGCCAGAGACCGGACCCAGACCCCGUUCAUAGGCAUAGUUUGGAUCUCACAGUGAAAAGCAGCUGCGAUGUUGAGUUAUUCACACAAAUUUCACGCCAAUGGACAACAACAGCGCACUACACUCGCUGUUGCCGGCGAUCCGUUGAAUGGCCUUUGGAAAUGAUUUCUGCUUGGCAACAAUUGCAAAAGCCAUGGCUAAAAACAAUUUCAACCGCAGCAGCAAAACAUUAGGGGCAUCGGCGAUUGCGGAGAGAAAACUGUUUGAAAACAACUGUGACGGAAAACUUGGGAAAAUUGUAUUGACGGUCGCAAUUGGACACAGAUUUGGUAAAUGUAGCUCUAAUUGCCAUUCAAAUUUAAUCAACUUGGAGAGCAUGCGAAAUGAACUCAUUGAAGAGUUUAGAAGUUAUAAUGUAGAACUUGAAAACUAUUUAUUGACUUUUAAGCUCUGCACCAUCCCGAUCAUUAUCAUUUCAAAUUUCGAAUGGCAGGAGAGGGGCAAAAACUAUUAUUAAACUUGGAUUUCGGAUCUGGCGCGACUUUCACGCGCGACUUUAAACGCCGGCAAAACGCAUCGUUGCACAAAUUUGCAUUCGCUUCAAACACACUCAAACAUUCGAACACAUGCGAAUAACAUGUAGGCAACCAAAAUGGAAAGCAGCGGCGAAAACUGCAGCAACAACAAUAACUGACAACUGUCAUAAACAUAACUCGGGCUCAAUUUAGCAUUGUUGUUGUUUUUGUUUUGGCUGUUGUUGUUGGCGUUGGCCAGCGUCUUGGUUUGGUGAUAUCGCCUGAGCAUAUCACCGCAUAACGAUUUCCCAACCCCCAAUUACACUGGAAACAAUUUCAGCACGUAUCACCUCAUGAUGAUGAAUUAAAUUUAUAAUAUGUACUUAUUAUAUCGCAUCAAAAACUUUUCCAAAUAUGCAAGCAAUCCUAAAUUAAAAAGUUCUGUAAGUUUGAAAUAUUAAAGUUUUUUCGCAGUGUACUGCACUACACCAUUCA